AGAGGAAUCGCUCGUUCACAGGAUCCAGAUGGACGCAACUUCCGGUCUCCUCUGUCUUUAGGCGAGCGUGCUCAAAAUCCCCCUCGACCCCGGCUGCAUCAGGCGACUCCGCGACCCCACAGCCGGCCUCCGCCCUCUCCGCACCGGCAACCUCCCCUCCUCUCCCUUCCCUUCCCUUCCCUCAUAUCGAGAAGGGAGGUCAUGGUGCUCCUGACACGGGUGGAUCCAGACCAAGCCCGUGGGGUUCCAGCUCGACCUCCUCGCAGCGACCACGGCGACGGGAUCCGCAGAUCCAUGGCCAUGACGGUGCGAGCGCACAGACGCAAGCGUUGAGAAGGGAGAAGGCAUGCGGGCCAUGGCGUUCCCACCGCAGCCGGGUCACUGGCUCCACCACGAGCUCCUCGCACUUGUCAGUGACGACGGCGACUCCGAACCCUAGCGGACGCUCCUGCUCGUCUUCCUCCACACCUCUGCUCGUGCCCGUCUUCCUCGGUGCCAUAUUCAGCACCUACAAGAACGCAGCUUCCUCUCCCGUGACAGGGGAUGUCGCAAGCAGGAGGGACGUGGGUCAGGCAUCUGUAUGUGCUGCUGAAUUUGUUUGAUGGUUCUUGAUUGUUGAGUAAUUCUUGUUAGUUGUUAUAUGUGCUGCUGAACUCGCCAUCAGGGACUUGAUUCAUGUUGGUUGCUAAAUUCAUUGUUGAUUGUUGAUUGUCGAGAGAAAAUCCAGGUGAGCGGUUGUA